UCCUCCAAGGCUAAAUACUCCUGACUGACCGAUAGUGAACCAGUACCGUGAGGGAAAGGCGAAAAGAACCCCGGCGAGGGGAGUGAAAAAGAACCUGAAACCGUGUACGUACAAGCAGUGGGAGCACAGGUUUACCUGUGUGACUGCGUACCUUUUGUAUAAUGGGUCAGCGACUUAUAUUCUGUAGCAAGGUUAACCGAAUAGGGGAGCCGGAGGGAAACCGAGUCUUAAUUGGGCGUUAAGUUGCAGGGUAUAGACCCGAAACCCGGUGAUCUAGCCAUGGGCAGGUUGAAGGUUGGGUAACACUAACUGGAGGACCGAACCGACUAAUGUUGAAAAAUUAGCGGAUGACCUGUGGCUGGGGGUGAAAGGCCAAUCAAACCGGGAGAUAGCUGGUUCUCCCCGAAAGCUAUUUAGGUAGCGCCUCGUGAAUUCAUCUCCGGGGGUAGAGCACUGUUUCGGCUAGGGGGCCAUCCCGGCUUACCAACCCGAUGCAAACUGCGAAUACCGGAGAAUGUUAUCACGGGAGACACACGGCGGGUGCUAACGUCCGUCGUGAAGAGGGAAACAACCCAGACCGCCAGCUAAGGUCCCAAAGUCAUGGUUAAGUGGGAAACGAUGUGGGAAGGCCCAGACAGCCAGGAUGUUGGCUUAGAAGCAGCCAUCAUUUAAAGAAAGCGUAAUAGCUCACUGGUCGAGUCGGCCUGCGCGGAAGAUGUAACGGGGCUAAACCAUGCACCGAAGCUGCGGCAGCGACACUCAGGUGUUGUUGGGUAGGGGAGCGUUCUGUAAGCCUGCGAAGGUGGCCUGUGAGGGUUGCUGGAGGUAUCAGAAGUGCGAAUGCUGACAUAAGUAACGAUAAAGCGGGUGAAAAGCCCGCUCGCCGGAAGACCAAGGGUUCCUGUCCAACGUUAAUCGGGGCAGGGUGAGUCGACCCCUAAGGCGAGGCCGAAAGGCGUAGUCGAUGGGAAACGGGUUAAUAUUCCCGUACUUGGUGUUACUGCGAAGGGGGGACGGAGAAGGCUAUGUUGGCCGGGCGACGGUUGUCCCGGUUUAAGCGUGUAGGUGUGUGUUCCAGGUAAAUCCGGUUCACUUUAACACUGAGGCGUGAUGACGAGGCACUACGGUGCUGAAGCAACAAAUGCCCUGCUUCCAGGAAAAGCCUCUAAGCAUCAGGUAACAUCAAAUCGUACCCCAAACCGACACAGGUGGUCAGGUAGAGAAUACCAAGGCGCUUGA
rnacentral:rRNA from 1 species